AUAGUAAAGAGACAAAGGUAAUAUAUUUUUAUUUCAUAACAGAAAAAGUUUAUUUAUGUUACAUUGAGUUAGUCAGAACUAGUGUCUAGUAACUCUUGCUUUUGAUGGCAUGAUAGGAGAAGUGUAAGAAAAAUGUUGAGAAUCAAUCAAAGCAGCUUUACACCCACAUUGGCGGAUCAAAAGCUUGACAAGGCUUGGAGAAGAAGAGGUCAUUUAUUUUUGAGAAUGUUUUUGAACCAUCUCUCAGUCUACAUAUUCAUUUUGUCAUCAUUAUUGUUACAGUCGAAAUGACAAAGGAUGAGAAUUGGUAGAGGAGAGUUGUAUCUCUUAACGCACAAAAGACCUAAUGGCUCCUAUAUCCAUGACGUAGCUUAGACUAUUGGUGAAAGAAUUGAGGCUAUUGAGCAACGUGAUGAAUCCUCUAAACUGUUGUCUUAGAAUGAUUCGCUUGCUCAAGCUCUCGGAAAGGAAUACUCGGGUAGAGUGCGUGGCAUAGGUUUGGGGCCAACUUCUAGCCAAGUCUUUGGUAUGAAUUCCCAUCAGCCGAGCAAUGGAGUUCAAAGGGAGGAGACUAAAAGGGUGCUGCUUUAACUACAAGCAGAGUUGGUAGCCGAGAAAUUAAAAAGGAAGGCAGUGGAGGAAGAAGUAGCAGCCGAGAAGACAAAAAGGCAAGUAGUGAAAGAUGAAGUAGCAGCUGAGAAGACAAAAAGGCAGGCAGUAGAGGAUGAGGUAGCAGCCGAGAAGACAAAAAGACAAGUAAUGGAGGAUGAAGUAGCAGCCGAGAAGAUAAGGAUGUAGGCAAUGGAGAGUGUUUUGAUAUGUCUACUUCAAGGGCAAGGUGGAAAGCUGCCAUCAGAUGUCGCCGCAUGGAUGAAUUCGUUGGAGGGAUAGAUUAGAAAGUAGAUCUUAGGAUUGUUCGAGAUUUUUUUUUAAAUAUACACUUUUUUUGUGUUGACUAUGCAACUCUUAGUAAGGAGUACACUUUAUUAAUAUUUGGAUAAUUAUAUGAAUUUUAUUAAUAGUUUUGCUAA